AGAGAGCAGAAAAGAGAGUACGUGGAGAAGACAGAGAGAAUAUUUGGACAAGAUGAAGAGGAUUAGUUUCCUCAAUUGUGUCUGUGCUGUUUACUUCUUUCCACCCGGUCUAAGAGGGUUCUCUCGGGCCCUCCAUCGGUCUCCCUCCUCCCUUUUCCCCCAGGUUUCCUUUUAUAGAAGGAUUUUGUUACCUGGGAGGUGACGGGAGGUUUGUCCUGUUUUGUAAUAACUGGGCACGAUUUGGCCCAUUAAUGGCGUAGUGGAGAAUA
rnacentral:lncRNA from 1 species